AUUGAACGCUAGCGGGAUACCUUACACAUGCAAGUCGAACGGCAGCACGGACUUCGGUCUGGUGGCGAGUGGCGAACGGGUGAGUAAUGUAUCGGAACGUGCCUAGUAGCGGGGGAUAACUACGCGAAAGCGUAGCUAAUACCGCAUACGCCCUACGGGGGAAAGCAGGGGAUCGUAAGACCUUGCACUAUUAGAGCGGCCGAUAUCGGAUUAGCUAGUUGGUGGGGUAACGGCUCACCAAGGCGACGAUCCGUAGCUGGUUUGGGAGGACGACCAGCCACACUGGGACUGAGACACGGCCCAGACUCCUACGGGAGGCAGCAGUGGGGAAUUUUGGACAAUGGGGGAAACCCUGAUCCAGCCAUCCCGCGUGUGCGAUGAAGGCCUUCGGGUUGUAAAGCACUUUUGGCAGGAAAGAAACGUUCCGGGUUAAUACCCCGGGAAACUGACGGUACCUGCAGAAUAAGCACCGGCUAACUACGUGCCAGCCGCCGCGGUAAGAC
rnacentral:rRNA from 1 species